rnacentral:lncRNA from 1 species
GAAGACGUUUGACUUAUCCAAGAGCAGCAUCCUACCAAAAUCCAGGUGUUUAUAGAAAGAUAGAAGAGUCAGAGGCAGCUUCCCACUUUGGGUAAAACUAAGUUCCUUGUAUCAGAUCACAACAAUGUAAGUGACCUAAUCAAAAUAAAUAGCAGGUGCUUACAGCUCAAUACUAAUCAAGCCUUCUUUCUCUUGAUAAACCAACAUAGCUUGGUGAAUGUCUCUGCCCUGAUCCUGAUCCCUGGAGUAUAUGAAAGUGAGAAUGAUGAAGGUGGAUUCCUGUAGAUGGUAAAUACCUCUUAGGAGAUACUUGCUAUAAAAUCGUGAGUA